AUUGAACGCUGGCGGCAGGCCUAACACAUGCAAGUCGAGCGGAUGAAGGGAGCUUGCUCCUGGAUUCAGCGGCGGACGGGUGAGUAAUGCCUAGGAAUCUGCCUGGUAGUGGGGGAUAACGUCCGGAAACGGGCGCUAAUACCGCAUACGUCCUGAGGGAGAAAGUGGGGGGUCUUCGGACCUCACGCUCUCAGAUGAGCCUAGGUCGGAUUAGCUAGUUGGUGGGGUAAAGGCCUACCAAGGCGACGAUCCGUAACUGGUCUGAGAGGAUGGUCAGUCACAUGGGAAGGGGGACGCGGACCAGACGCCUGAGAGAGGCAGCAGUGGGGAAUGUUGGACAGUAGGCGAAAGUAUGGUCCAGUCAUGCCGAGUGUGUGGAGAAGGUGUUCGGAGUGGAAAGCACGUUAUGUUGGGAGGAAGGGCAGUAAGUUAAUACCUAGCUGUUGUGACGUUACCAACAGAAGAAGCACCGGCUAACUACGUG
rnacentral:rRNA from 1 species